CUCCUCCUCCUCCUCCCCUCUUCUCAUGCUGCAGACUUCUGCGUCGCAGACCUCACGGGCCACCUGACCCCCUCAGGCUACGACUGCAAGAAGGAGGCUGCCGUCACCGUCAACGACUUUGUCUUCACCGGCCUCGGCAAGGCGGGCAACACCUCGAACCUCAUCAAGGCUGCAGUGACCCCCGCCUUCGUCGCCCAAGUCCCGGGUGUCAACGGGCUCGGCAUCUCUGCUGCUCGCCUCGACCUUGCUCCAGGGGGUGUCAUCCCCUCUCCACACCCACCCUGCUGCCACCGAGUUCCUUGUGGUCACCCAGGGCACCAUCUGCGCCGGCUUCAUCAGCUCCACUGCCAAUGACGUCUAUUUUAAGUCCCUCAACACGGGCGACUCCAUGCUCUUCCCCCAAGGGUUGCUGCACUUCCAGGUGAAUUGUGGUCGGACGACGUCUGUGGCCAUUGUGAGCUUCAGCAGCCCGAGCCCAGGGCUCCAGAUAACAUCAUUCGCGCUCUUCGCGAACAAUUUGCCGUCGGCAUUGGUGGAGAUGGUCACCUUCCUGGACGAUGCUGAAGUGAAGAAACUCAAGAAGCUGCUCGGAGGGACCGGGUGAGGGAGCGAACUUGGUUGCCUCCUGGGAGUUGAUUUAAUGCGAGUUCUUUGAGUGUUUUCUGUCUGUGUGGGCACUUAGCAGUGUUAGUGUUGGAUGUGUUUCUUUCGUUGUGGGCAAAUGGUGGUGUAUGGAGUCUUAAUUGCUUCUUCUUCUGCAAUUAUUUUAACAUGAACAAGCUUUAAUGGCUUAGCAUGUUCUAAAAAGAGAGAGCAUCAUGGUAACUUCUGGAGAAUAUGCUAAUUAAGCAAUGAAUGGGUGGUUGGACCACGAGUGUGGGCCUAUUCUUCUGAUAAUUCUGAAACGCUGCCGAGUGGUCAAUUAUUACUCGUUCAUUGCCACCUUUUUAUCACCUUCACCUGUCCUCCUCCCGUUUGGACUUUGGAAGGAUCAUCUCACGGUCUUAUAUGGCCAUUACUUGAUGACAAAAAGCCUUGCGCCUGGGAGCACGGGGUAACCAUAUUUUUCUUAGUAUUCUUGAUUAGUUAAUAAGAUUUACAUAUUAAUGAUGCUGUAUGUUGCUAUAUUUUACAUUCUUUUUUUCUUUCUCAGUUUAAUCAAUCGAGUUCUUUCUGAACUUCUUGCGUAUGCUCCUUAUCCCCCCCCCCNNNNNNNNNNNNNNNNNNNNNNNNNNNNNNNNNNNNNNNNNNNNNNNNNNNNNNNNNNNNNNNNNNNNNNNNNNNNNNNNNNNNNNNNNNNNNNNNNNNNNNNNNNNNNNNNNNNNNNNNNNNNNNNNNNNNNNNNNNNNNNNNNNNNNNNNNNNNNNNNNNNNNNNNNNNNNNNNNNNNNNNNNNNNNNNNNNNNNNNNNNNNNNNNNNNNNNNNNNNNNNNNNNNNNNNNNNNNNNNNNNNNNNNNNNNNNNNNNNNNNNNNNNNNNNNNNNNNNNNNNNNNNNNNNNNNNNNNNNNNNNNNNNNNNNNNNNNNNNNNNNNNNNNNNNNNNNGUUAAGUGAAAGAUGGAUGCUUUCCUAUCGAUAUUUUUCACAAGUUUGCAUACACUCUAGCCAUUCCUUUUUCUUUCUAUGGUUCAAAUGCCCUAUCAGGUGGAAGGCAUGUCCAAAAGGAAAAUGUCGUGAUUUCAUGUGGGAUGUUGAAAUGCUACGAGUGAUCAUAUACAUUUCUCAGUGCUUUCACCAUAUAUUGAGUACAGUUUUUGAUCAUACGUGGAGUCAUUUUGCUGGGCUGCAAGUCUCGUUUCAUCCAACGCGUCGAGUUCUUCCAGUCUUUGGCGUGUUUUCCUCGUCUCUUAACCCUAUAGGAGGGCCGUCCUUAACUAAGGAAUUUCCACUUCAAGUGGGAGGACCGCUUCCGCUCCAAGCACUAGUGAAUAGGGCGUGGCCCUGGAGUCCGGUAGGUGGUUCUCGUGUUUCCUUCUCUCUCUUAGCUUUGAUCCCCUCGAGUGAAGCUUGCUCUCUUAUUUCAGUGAAAUGAAUCAAAGCAGCUCAUCAAUCCUGUUUUUCUUUUCGGGAGAAAGAUCCUAUUUUAAUAAUUUUUAAAAUGUUAGCCUUGUAAUUACUCAGCUUAAACCAACAAGUUCUCUUGCCAACUGAUGGAUUAAUUGGAGCGUGAAGAUGGAGAACGAAUUGAAAUAGCUCGAGUACAUAUAUGCAUUUCGAUUAGGAUCGUAUUUAUGGCUACGAUUCUACCAGAUAUGUCCUUUUUCAUUUCGUCGAAAAUCGAUUUUACGGUAUAGUAAAGAAGUUACACAAGAAAAGGCAAUAUGUUUACAUAGAUUAUCAGCGAACAACGAGGAAAAGAGGUUCAUAUAAUAACAUAUAAUGAAAAUUAAUUAAAAAGAACUUUAAAAAGUUAACAGCAACAAAGGAUGGGUCCUUGUUAAUUAAGUUCGCAGGUUUCCUAUGUGUCGUCUAGAUUAGUUACUAUUGACUGAAUGCAGUAUGUCACUCUUUGGUGUAAUACAAGAAUCAUCGACUCCUCUGUCUAAAGUGGAGCCACUUGCACAAGACCGAGCAUCACAAUACCUCAAGUAGCAUGCAGAGCCCAAUGCACACACUAUUUCCAAGUCAUUGCAUCAUCAUAACUCUCUUAGUCCAUUUACUCACCUCCUCAACCUUAAACCAUAAAAACAGAUCGAUAACUAUUCCCUAAUAAUAAAACCAUGACAUCUAAUCCCUCAAUCCACACAUUAAGAAACAUCUCGUCCAAGUAAAAGUGUACUUUUGUCAUGACAUCUUAAAGAUGUUACUGAGAAAGAGAGAGAGAGAGACAAGCAGAAACGUCCUUCUUUCACAUGCUAUCCAGCUAAACAACCCGUCGGUUUCUUCCGACCAAAACCCUAACGUACCCCAUGCAUGCACGUGAAACGCUGCGCGCGCAUGGCCUCAAAUUUCCAAUCCCAGACGCCAACCCCUCUAUAUAAUCCUCACGCCAAGUACUAGCUUAUAGAGUGAGAAGGAAGAUAAAAAAAAUAACUAAGAUCAAGAUAAGGCAAUCAUGCCUCCCGUCAUCUUCCUCCUCCUUUCCCUCCUCCUCCUCCUCCUCUCCUCUUCUCAUGCCGCAGACUUCUGCGUCGCAGACCUCACAGGCCGCCUGACCCCCUCAGGCUACGAAUGCAAGAAGGAGGCUGCCGUCACCACCAACGACUUUGUCUUCACCGGCCUCGGCAAGGCCGGCAACACCUCGAACCUCAUCAAGGCUGCAGUGACCCCCGCCUUCGUCGCCCAAUUCCCGGGUGUCAACGGGCUCGGCAUCUCUGCUGCUCGCCUCGACAUUGCUCCAGGGGGCGUCGUCCCCCUCCACACCCACCCUGCCGCCACCGAGUUCCUUGUGGUCACCCAGGGAACCAUCUGCGCCGGCUUCAUCUCCACUGCCAAUAACGUCUAUUAUAAGUCCCUCAAUACGGGCGACUCCAUGCUCUUCCCCCAAGGGCUGCUGCACUUCCAGGUGAAUGGUGGUGGGACGACGGCUGUGGCCAUUGUGAGCUUCAGCAGCCCGAGCCCAGGGCUCCAGAUAACGUCAUUCGCGCUCUUCGCGAACAAUUUGCCGUCGGCAUUGGUGGAGAAGGUCACCUUCCUGGACGAUGCUGAAGUGAAGAAACUCAAGAAGCUGCUCGGAGGGACCGGGUGAGGGAGCGAACUUAAUUGGUUGCCUCCAGAAAGUUGAUUUAAUGUGAGUUCUUUGAGGGCUUUGUGUCUGUGUGCUCUUAGCAGUGUUAGUGGUAGAUGUGUUUCUUUCGUUGUGGGCAAAUGGUGGUGUAUGGAGUCUUAAUUGCUUUGGGUGAGGUAUUAUGAGGUGACCAAAUUAAUCUAAUAUCACUUAGCCUCGAUGUACGAUUUGUUGAGAAUUCAGAAAGAACUUAAUUUCUUUGUGAUUAACCCUUUUCCCUUCCCUGCAGACCGAGUUCAGCAGCUGAGCUAAAUUGUCGGAAAAGGGACCCCUUUAGCAUUGUCGACAUUAAUUCCAUUCUGUCUUCAAAAUGGCAAAAAAAUCUCAGCUAAGAAUUGUGCUGAAGAACUGUCCGCUAAACAUUUAUUAUACCCUCCCCCUAAAAAAAGAUUAUAUCAUGAAAAUAGGAGUGUAACACAAUGAGUGCUUGCUUGGAUGGUAUUAUCUCUUGCCUUUUGGAUAAGAGGAUAGGAAUUCGAGUUGCGCCCACACUCACUUGGAACCUUGUAGAGUGGGGUGGGAAUGGAUAGAAGAUGGAUCAGCCCAUUCUAGUCUCAAAAAUCAAAAAAAAAAAAAAGCAGUGCUACUAGUUGCGUUGACUUGGUCAACUAUCUGAGCUGGAGAAUGUUUUUCCCUGUUGGAUCUUAAUUGGAGAAUAGUCUUCCCUCUCAAUCCUCUCUCUUCUCCCUCUUCUCAUAGUUCCUGCAGAUGAGUGCACCUCCACCUCCACCUCCCAUUUCCUUUCCUCCCUCCUUCCUUUUCACCUCUUCCUCCACCAUCGCUAAUGCUGUCGCUUGUCUAAAAACCAAGAAAUCGCCAUCAUUGGUGCUCUUGUUCUUGUAAACUAUAACAUUCUUAAGAAUGGAAUUAAUGGAGGGAGCACGUACGGUUGACCAAAACACAUGAAAACAAUUCAUCCCUAUAUCUCAUAUAUACAAACUGUUAAGAAAAUAUAAAAUAUAUAAAUAAAUCUACCUCAUCCUAUCAACUUAAGCUUUUAGGAAAAAUGGUGAUUUCAACAUGGUAUCAGAGCAGAGGUCCUGAGUUUGAAACCUGUCUCCGCACUCUUUAACCCCAUUAUUAAAAAUUUUACAUGUUGGGCCCACCCAUUAAAGGAAAGUCCGGCCCACAUGUGAGGGGAAGUGUAAGAAAAUAUAAAAUAUAUAAAUAAAUCUACCUCAUCCUAUCAGCUUAAGCUUUUAGGAAAAAUGGUGAUUUCAACACAAACAUCCAUAUAGUGCUUAUUAUUGUGUGGCCAAUACUAGCAUGUUAGAUUUUCGGAGCUUUUAAUAUGUUGGAUUAAAACUUGAAUUUCCAUUGGAUCUCAACUUGAAUUAUAUUCUAAUCUAUUGUGCUAAUUUGUUGAUUUGAAAUAUACACAGCAAAUGAAAUGAAGAACUUCUAAGGUCUUGCUACUUUAAUCUUAGCCACUGCAGAUUGUAGUGCUGCAUUACUAGUAAUAUACAUAAGAGAGAGAGAGAGAGAGAGAGAGAGAGAGAGAGAGAGAGAGAGAGAGAGAGAGAGAGAGAGAGAGAGAGAGANNNNNNNNNNNNNNNNNNNNGAGAGAGAGAGAGAAAAUCUGCCGUAGAAAUCCAUACUGCAAGCAAUGGUGGUUUGGUGAAAGACACAGAAAGAAGGUGUUUGGUGCACCUGCACUCAUGGACUGCGAUUUAGUGGCAAAGGUAGGCGAUUAGCAUUCACAGGAUGGAACUCAUGGAAGGUUAUUUGAUCUGGAUUCCAUUUGUCAAACACAUGGUGCGUGUACGUUGCUCCCACCUACACACGCCAAGUAUGUCAAGAACUCCCCAUCAUGAAGAUUAUUUUGAAGGUUCUUACAACAAUAGCAACAAAUAGCACCAUUAUUUUUCAACUCAUAUAUAAUCUGAAAUGACCUAAAAAUAAUGCAUGAAUAUUUUUUAAAAUUCAAGAAUUAUAUAUAAACUUGUCUCGAGAACUUGCUAGUCAUCAUCAUAUGCCGUAAUUACACUCGGGGAUCUCAAAUAUUAGCUAAACAUGAUUAAAAUCCUUGGAAUGCCAUUAAAUCUUUAUCGAAAUCCUGAUGCAAGUUAUGAUAGCUUUACAACUAGGUAACUCCAAUUGUAGUAAAGUUCUAGCAAUUAUAACACCCAUUUUGGCCAAGUGGUGCGUCCAUUUUGGCCACUUGAUACUUAGCCAUCCCUACGGCCUUUCCCUUUCUUCUUCUGAUCUCUUUGUUUUUAAGAGAAUUUUCUUAAAAAAUGGGCCACUAAUUUAUAAGAUGUUAAUCAAAAUACCGAAAACUUAGGGGCAUUCCGUGAUCCAAGAUAUUCACCUGUGAUGAAAUCUGAGUUCCUCCAAUGCACGGAGCGAAAAAUAGCGAUUGACCAAAUCAAAUGCUUUUUGAAUGUCUAAGAUUAGUUGUGAGGACCAGUAUGGGCAUGUAUUUAAUCCCACGUUGGUUAUUCACUGGAUAGAUCUUGGGUAUUUAUAUAGAAACAAAGAAUCCAAAUAAUAUCUUCCAACUAGCUAUUUUGGGAGAGAUCUUAGGAUGUUACAAAUGGUAUCAGGAAACCUAAAUAAUACAUUUCAGUUAGCCAUUUUGAAUGUCGGGAGAUUUUUGCGCUUACGGCUACCUUUCAAGUGGCCGGGACCAUAAAUUACACUGAAUAUCACACAACAUCUACAGGGGGGGGGGGGGAAUGUAACUCACCUAGUCAAGUUAUGCGAGACCCACAAUUCAAUGCAUUAGAGACAUGGAAGAUCAUAUUAUCACUUAUUUUGACUUAUAACAUAGGAAGCAACAAAAAUAUAACAUAACAGAGGCAGGCUAAAAUAGCAAGACUGCAAGGUGAUCUAAAAUGACAUAUACCGGGUUAAGAAACUGAAUGUUUUUAGGUAGCAUCUGCAUGAAACAAUUGUUAACAGACAGACCAAAAUCAUCAGAAACAUUCAAGAUGGAACGCAAAGAAUCCAGAACAUAAUCAAUUUUCCCCAAGUAUUCUAUUCAAGCAAACAAACCAAAAUUAAUUAAAGAUUGAAACCCAAAAAAGAAAGAAUAGCACAUAGACGUAGUAACACAGAAUCAAGACCAUAAUAAUCUUCAAGUGUUGCAAAGAUUAAAAAAUUCAUUUUGUUUUCUGAAUAAUUCUUUUAAAACCACUUUUCGUCACAUUUCUUCAUUAUCUUUUAAGAAAUUGCAACUCCGAUAGAAAAAAAGAAAAAAAGAAAAAAAUCACUAAAUAAAAGUAAAAGAAAAAAAUCCAAACUUUCAAGUGGAAAAGGAAAAAAGAACCGAAGAAUCUCAAGAAAAGCUAUGGCACUUGAUCGGAAGCGACUCCUCUAGUGCGUCCAUAGUCUUCAGUGGCCCCUUAUACCUGCUAUGUACCUCCAUCUCCCUAUCUAAUCUCAAUCCCGCCACUGAGUAAUCGCUAUUCUGCCCAAUCGAAGAGCUGCCCGACUCCUCCUUCUGCCUUUUCUCCGCCCUCUUCUCUGCCACCUCCUCCUCCGACGGAUCGAUCCGCCACCACUCCGACGACUUGUAGAUCGAGAAGCACCGAAUCCCCCGCCAAACCCCAACCCACCAAUCCUAUUCCGCCUCUCCAGCGCAAUCAAUAUCCCUCCGCUCGUCCAAACAAUCUCUGCGACAAACUCAAACUUGAUUAAACCAUCCACCGAACAGUCCUCCAAUCCUCCGGGCAACAAAUAAGAAAGAAGAGAGUCACAAGGUAAUCAUACAGUACCACUUUUAAUAUUAUAAUUAUGCAACUAAUGGCUGUUACUUACUAAAUUAAUGAAUUUCGCACGGAGAUUGAAGGAACCUUAUAGGCUUAUGAUCUCAUCCUUAUCCUCCAGUUAAGGCUUUUCUAGAAAGAUUUCUGAUUUGUUAUUACUUUGCUAUUUAUUAGAAGAGAGCCAGUACAAAGUAUCAUCUAACGUAUUUUAGAAUUUUUUAUUUAUAUAAUUAAAAAUAUCUAUGCGGGUUUUAGAUUUACUCUCCCUGUCUAGAGUUGGAAUCAUCCGGUCCGUUCUUUUGUGGUGGUCCCUUGUCACGGGCUGGAAUUUUUUGUUUUUUUUAAUUUUAAUUUGCUGGGCAGUUUGGAGGGAUUUUCUUUAUUUUAAUCGGACGGCUGUGGAUUUUGGGACCACUUGAGGAGAAAUGAUGGGCGUCUGAUCGUCUGUUCCUGUGAUCGUGACGGCUCUUUCGGCGACUGGGGUACAUGCAUCGAUAAGAGCGUCUCCUGGAAGAGAGGAAUAUCAGAUGGAAUAUUCCUUGAGGGACCAUCAAAGAGUAACAUGCAUGCACGUGGUUCAUAUUUUUCUUCAAAAAAAGAAAAAAAAGUAUCACGGCAUGAUCAGUUUUGGGACGCAAUUAAGUUUGCAGGUAUCCACUUUGCCCAAAUCAUUCAGCUAUUAUAACAUUAUAUUGAAUGCUAUUUGACCACAAAUUUCAAAAAUCUUGGUUUCAUACGAUCUUGCUGUUUACUAUAACCAAAGAAACCAGAAACCUCAAAUUUGAAUGUGAAGAAAAUAGACCAACAGAAAAUCUAUGGCUUCUUUUGCGGUAAACAUUUCCUUGCAGAAGAAAAAUCUGGUGAUUGUUAAAAUUUUGCACGUAUCCACUUGUUCAAGCUAUUGUAACAUUAUAUUGAAUGCCAUUUAGCCACAAAUUUCAAAAAUAUUGGUUUCAUAUGAUCUUGCUGUUUAUUAUAACCUACGAAACCAGAAACCUCAAAUUUGAGUGUGAAGAAAAUAGACCAACAGAAAAUCUAUGGCUUCUUUUGCGGUAAACAGAAGAAAAAUCUGGUGAUUGUUAAAAUUUAACACAAUGAAGAAUACAGUAUGGCCCUUUCCAGUUUGUUUCUUUUGUUGGCAAAUAUACAAAAUUGCGGACUAUUCUAAACAAAAUUUGAUUUGCACCAAAGAAAGAAAAGGCAACCAGAAAGGAGGCUUCCCACAAUCAGCAAUGAGAACUUAGCGACGUUUAUAGAUGCAAGGUUUCAACUCUGGCCAUUCAAUGUUUCUCACUUCUGAAAUUUUUUCCUGCAACAACAGAAAAUAUAUGAUUGACAAAAAUUUUUGAAGUCAAUUUAUGGCCAGCCUGCAACAGAUAACCAUAUCACAAGAUUGCUUAGAUUUUCACCCAGGAAAAAGAAAAAGGAAAUAAGUUGCAACGCCUUACCUUCUUCUUGAAGUAGAACAGAAGAAACAUUUUAUUUGUGGAGUCCUAAGGGUGAAAAAAAGAAGAAAGUUUGUCACACAAGCAUAAAGUAAAACAAUUUUAUGAUUUUCUAACAGAUUAGGAAUUUGGAAAAUUUCACUGGAGAAGUUCAAGACAUCAUUUUAUGAGAAAAACAUGCAAAGAAAGGAUGUUUGGGUGAAAUGAACCUUGGAAACUAAAGAAAACCCAAGUUUAUUGAUUGCUUCGCCAAAAUUUAUCAGGGUCAGCUCCUCCAUUGCCUGGAUCAAACCUACUUUGUACUUCAGCUAUCAAAAGCCAGCCACUGCAAAAUGACAUUAUGAAUGCUUGAAAAAGCAUAACAUAGCAACAGCAAUGAUUUUCAUAUUAAAGCUUAAGUGGCAAACCGUGGCUUCAAAACUCUUUUUGCUUCCUGCAAAUAAUUGGGGAAGUUGGUCCCCAUUAACGAAAGACAGAAGACAGCAACAUCUACAGAUGAAUUGUCCAACGGUGUCUGCAUGAUUUUUCAUAGCCCACAAAUGUUAGUCAAGCACCACAUCUCAGUUCAUCUUGGACUUUUAAGAAACAAUCUUGGUUGCUGGCCUCGUAAGAAAAUGGAAGCAUCAUACAGUCAAACUAUUUAGGAGCACUAACGAAGGCUGCAGACCACAUUUUAAUAGUAGCAUUUAAUCUUUUAUAAAGGCAGAAAGUAUUGGAUGAGAGGAUGGUACUUCCAUAUAUAAAACUAGAAAUUUUCAUAGUUUUUCUUCUUCCACAAAUGCUCUCAUUACAAUCCUAAGCACCUAAGAUAGUUAUACAGAGGCUGUUUCGGCUUAAAGAUAUCAUUCAGAAUGACACUUAUUCAGAUGAUUAUACAGAUAAAUAUAAUAAAAUCAACAAACUGUUCUGGUGAAUCAUUCCAUUGAUUUGAAGAACAAGAACAUUAUGGAAAUGAACAGGCAGAGUGCCAGACUCUAN
rnacentral:lncRNA from 1 species